AAAUGAAUUGACGGGGGCCCGCACAAGCGGUGGAGCAUGUGGUUUAAUUCGACGCAACGCGCAGAACCUUACCAGCCCUUGACAUGCCCCUUGCGGGCCCGGGAGACCGGGUCCAUCGGUUCGGCCGGGGGGGACACAGGUGCUGCAUGGCUGUCGUCAGCUCGUGUCGUGAGAUGUUGGGUUAAGUCCCGCAACGAGCGCAACCCUCACCUCCAGUUGCCAGCGAGUCAGGUCGGGCACUCUGGAGGAACUGCCGGUGACAAGCCGGAGGAAGGCGGGGAUGACGUCAAGUCCUCAUGGCCCUUAUGGGCUGGGCUACACACGUGCUACAAUGGCGGUGACAGAGGGAAGCGAGGGUGCGAGCCUGAGCCGAUCCCCAAAAGCCGUCUCAGUUCGGAUUGCACUCUGCAACUCGAGUGCAUGAAGUCGGAAUCGCUAGUAAUCGCGGAUCAGCACGCCGCGGUGAAUACGUUCCCGGGCCUUGUACACACCGCCCGU
rnacentral:rRNA from 1 species